GGGUACCUAUGUGUGACCGGAAGGUCUGGUAUGCUAUGAGAUAUAUGUGUUGUAUGCUAUGUGUUGUUUGUUUCGUAUACGCUAUGUAUGUGAUAUGUAUGCUACGUUUGAUAUGGGCCGGAAGGCAUUAUGAUAUGGGCCGGAAGGCAUUAUGAUAUGGGCCGGAAGGCAUUUUGAUGUGGACCAGAAGGUCGGGGGGUUAUGGACCGGAAGGUCAACACGGGUAGGAUCGGAAGGUUUACCGGGUUGGGACGGGAGUCCCCUAAGACAC
rnacentral:lncRNA from 1 species